UGCCCGCCUCCUGCUCCGAAGCGCGUCGGGGAUGCGCUCGGCAGCGACUGGAGGCACCUGCCGGAGCUGGGGCUGCCGCCGCGGGCAGGCUGAGGAGCAGGAGCCGAGCGGGGAGGCGGCGUUUCAAGCCAGGGGCGAGCGCCGGAGCCAGCCCCGCCCUGUGGCCCGGCUUGCCCGCUAACAACUUGCGGUGCGCGCCUUGAUUUUGCCGCGCGAAGUGUUUGUCUCUCCUUGACCCACCCCGCCAGUGCACCAGUGCGGCGCUGUGAGAGAUGCUAGCAGAGCCUGGGCAAAGAGGGAGUUUGACCCGAAACCAUUCCAGAGAGCCGUGCUGCAGAUUGAUUCAGCAUCACAAGGAAACCGACAGCUGAUCCAAUCAGGGUAUUGACAAAUACGCUAACGACGUCGAAAGUAGCCUACUUUAAGAGAAAAUAUGCAGAAGAAGAAGAUUUACAUCAAGAUUACCAGGGGUAUUUUCCAAAACACCUGAUAUUACCUGAGGACCGGACUUGUAUUCUAAAACUGUCUCUGCAGAAACUUCGAUUCCUUGAAGACCCUGAAACCUAUCUCCGCAGGUCUGUGCUUAUUAACAAUUUGCUGAGGAAGAUCCACCUAGAGACAGACAAAGAGAGCUAUGAAUACUUUAAGGAGGCACCCUGUUAUAGGACCGCUUACUCGGAUACAAGAAAACGGCUGAAGUUUAUGGUACAAGAAUGCUGUUCUCAGUCACUCUAUUAUGAAGAGCUGCAUUCGUAUCAUAUUGUGCCUUAUUCUACAGAGAAUUCCAUUUAUGGAAUGGGCUAUACAAGCAGCCACUUGGAGCAAAAUUCUCAGUUGCUUAUUUAUAAAAUGAAUUGAAGUAGCUGUUAGAUCCACUGAUGUUUUGUUUCUGAAUGCUUGAACUGCUUAUUAACAUGCGAAGAUGAGACACUAAUUGUAAACACACUUGUGAUGAAAGACGGGAUACAAACAGAGAUGAAUGGAGGGUACUUUGAUUAAUACUCUGCAGUCAUUGGUAUGCAAAGGGUUUUAUAAGCAGAGAGCUUGCGUGCAAUGUAUUUUGUAGAAACUAAGCGACAUUAAGUUGCCAGUGUAGAUAUAAACAUUUUAUCUACUUUGUAUUUAAAUUAUGCCAUACCAGGUGAGAGGUAAAAACCAAAAGUGACAGAUUAUUCUGACAAUGAAGAUUCAGGGGUGGGAGUUAUUUUCUGUAAGGUUUAGAAAGCAAGUUUUCUUUGAGAAAUGCUUUGAAUGUGAAGGAAUCAGUGCCAAAAGAAAUGUCUCUUUGGUUAGGAUUUUCAAAAAAGCAAAAUAACUCAUCUGGUACUCACAAGAAAUUCUACACUGAGAUCAGUCAGCACUGUAGUGAGGGUGUUUUUAAUUGAGCCACUAAAUUGCUCUCACUUCUUACUUAUCUUUCUGUUGACAACAUUUUGCGACAAAACGGGAUGACUCAGAUGAAAGUCUAUUUUCUCAGCCAGUUGUCAGUGUUUUCUAAACAUGAUUUGAAUCCCCUCCAGGUUGCCUGGCUGGAAUUCUGAGGUUUGUGUGUGUGAGUGCGCUAUUUACUAUUCGACCAUGUGGUACAACGCACGAUCAGUGUUAGAGCUUAGGUGGGCACUUUUUUGUGAUUUGAAAACAAAAUAAAACAAAAACCCACAUUCCAGAAAGGGAAUAUAUUAGACACACUGGAGUAAAACCUCAGAGGACUUUCAUUUGAGAUGAGUUUAAUCUGCAUUAGUGACAGUGUUUGAGGUGGAGUUAGAUGUCUAAUGUCAAUUUUUGGAAUUUCCUUUAGAAUAUAUAUCAAGCAUGUCCUAUGAGACACAUUGCGCAAUCUGACCACGAGAAUGGGAAAGUCAUAGCUGCCAGAGCUAUGUUCUGAAAAUACCAAAGAGUAGCAUUAGGGAGAGAAUGACAUUAAAAUAAAUGGGGUCAAAAGCAGGGAUUGCACUGUAACUUGGGAGAACAUUAUGAACAAGCCAGUAAACUACAUAGUUACCAAUAUAUUUGUUGUUCACUUAAUGAUGACUUGCGACACAGAAUUGCUGAACAAAUAUGCCUGAUCCAAAGCUUAUGGAAGUCAAUGGGAGUCCUAUAGACUAUAAGUUUAUAGUGAAGGAAUCAGCUUUGCAUUGCAGGUUUUAGCCACUGGAGCUUUAAAGGUAAUGCUAAGUGAAAUAAUAGUAUAUUGUAACAAUGGAGGCAGACAUGUAUUCAAGUAACCGAUUUUCUCAUGUAGAUUUGACUGAUGCUAUUUCUCAAGCGUUAUACAGUAUGAACAAAUAAAAAUGGCCUUACAUGGAUGUGCUUAGUAUAGAACAAAGAUUCCACCGGUAACCCUACUUAAAAUGCCUUGCUCUUGUAUAUUGCACACACAAUUGCUGCUGUCAGACAUGUAUUAACCGUACAAUAAAUAAAAGACAAGGGCAGGAAGUAUGAGGAGCAAAGUCAAGUGAGUCAAGGAUGAUAUUCAUAGUUAGAAGCCAAUGCGGGUUUCAGAGACAGGAAGAGAGAGAACUAAAAAUCCAGGAAAGAAGAGAAUUUGUAGUAAAAAUGUUCAGACCUAAAUUCAACACAACUAUUACUCCCAAAUUUCAGAAUCUACAACUGUAUGAAAUGCUCUUACUAUUAAAUAGCCUACGGACAGCACAGAAAUGGGAAAGCUGGAAAAUGGGGCAAUGCCGUUUCUUAAGUGAAAUUAGUAAUUGUGAAUGGUUAGGUUCUGAGAGGCCACUUUCAUUUUUCUUAGAGGCAAAAUGUCCAUACUUACCUUGGAGGUAAAGGGGUCAAAUUGUCUGAAGACCAGAUCCUCCGCUGGUGUGAUUCAACAUAGCUCCGCUGGUGUAAAUCAAUGGCCUCUUGUUGGCCCACUGGAGUAAUGCCUGCAGAAAAACUGGCCCAAACUUUCAAACAUUAGCUUGCAUUUUGCAAACUGAAGUAUUUUGAAAAAAACAUCAGUUAAAAGCUACUAAUAUACGCUACCUAUCUCAACAAGGAAAACUGAAAGAAGGCCAGGCUAGUCUGGAGAAAGGCUCCAAUUAUCUAGUAUGUGUAAUAAGUGUACUACUAUAAACCGGUAGUGAAAUGAGUUUACUGUAUGAUAUGUGAGAGAAUGAUAUGAUCAGUGCUGUUAGAGGAGCCAUCAUCCCUCAGAGAGCUCUCUUAUCUCUGAUGGUACAUUGCCUACUGUGUGCGCAGGGACAGGUGGGGAAAGGGAUAUUAGAGGACUAAUAGGUGUCUCUGGGAAAUUAUUUCUGCCUUCUGGUUUUAAAAAUAUGUAAUUUUCUGCUCGAAAGUGAACAGAUUCAUGCACUUUUUUCUUUGUGUUAGUUUUUCUGCAGCAUUCGAAAUGAUCAGCUUAUUUUAUGAAAUGCUAAAUAACCCUUUCUCACUGACUGACAGUAUAUGCACACUAUAAUUCUGGGCUAAAAGGCAAGGCUCAUUACAUUAAAUUAUACUUCACAAAUAAUUUAUAACGUUACUUCUACUAUUUUGCAAGAAAGGAAGGGAAAAAAAUUGAGCUGGAGUUAGCCUUUAACCUUUGCUAGAACUACAAUACUUGCUGAAGUCAUCUUUGAAAAAAUGACUUUGUCUGGGGAAAUAAGUAACUGCUUUCUGGCCUGUUAAAAGCUUAUUUUAUAUGAUGCUGCAUGAUGGGUUGCAGCUUAAUGCACCUUUAAAAGAUAUCAAGGAAAAAACAAACAUCCUGAACGGGUCUCAGGUAACUAAUUCCUUGGCGUUUCAGAAGAUCAAGGGUUUGGUUCUUCCAGAGACGGCUGAAAAAUGGGAUAACAUUUUCACCAAAGUUUUGUUCCUCUCUUUUUGGGCCAAAAAAGUUUAAGCAAAAUGUAAUUAAAAUAUUCCAAGCAGAAACUGGAUGAAAUUUUUGUGAAAUUUUCCCACCCACUCCUUUCUUGGUUAAAUUCUUGAGGAAAAAAAUUAAUCAAAAACUUCAGAAUUGUGAACAUUCUCAACUACCCCCCUACUUGCACUUCAUGUCAUUUAGCUGUUUAUUGCAGAGCUUUGCUCACACCAUACACAGCUGCAAAUGACUGCACAGGCACACUGAAGAGGAGAAUCAGACCCUACAACUUGACUAUGGAAGUUAUUAAAUUAUCUAGUGAUAUUUGAAUACUCUGUUACCAAGCCACCAUUUAGUACUGUAAUCCAGAUACAUAAAGAGAUGUUUUAUUGAUAAAGCCAUUCAGGGUUUAGUUUGACUUCUGCAACACGUUUUUCUGAACUUUCCUAGGUGAUCCCAUCUAUAGGUAGCCCAGAGUCAGACUUCAGUGUAAAGAAAUGUAUAUGAUUUUACAACUGUACUAUGCCCACACACAGAUCAUAUUUGUACUGGGUGUAAAGAAAGUUUUUUUCCUUCCUCUCAAAACCAGUCGUCUUGGAAUAUAUUCUAAAAAUAAUGUAUGACACCUUAGAGACAAUAUAAAGGAUAUGUCGGACAGGGAAAGAUUUGGUAGCAACAUUUGGUAAUUUUGCAAAUGACUGGCUUAAGAAAAAUUAACGUUUAGUGCAGUGUUGCAUGUAUUUACUCAGAAACUCACUUGACUGUUUAGUAUAAACAUGUAAAUUAUUAUGUUUUCUUUGUACCACUUUUCCUGGUUGGCUUCAAGUGUCAGGCCUGAUCUUGAAAACAUUUAUUAGCAGGCAUCAUGCUUAUUGCUCUGAGUCAUCUCAUUGCCUGCAGUGCAACUACAUGUGGCCAUAAGCAUUUACAGGAUCAAGCUCAUAAUUAUCAUUUGCCAAAGGCAUAGUGUCUUGCAGUUACAUGAUAGAGGACUUACAUACUCCUGUAAGUCACAUGCAUUGGAAAUACAAUGGAUUCUGUAAGCUUUUACAAUGUAUGUGUAGUCUCAUUGAUGUCAAUGGGAUACUCAUGCUUAAAGUUAAGCAUGUGCGUAAGUACUUGCAGGAUCUGGCCUGAUGUAUACAGUGGAGCCACUCCCAAAUUGCCUAAUUUUCAAUGGAUGUGAUUACUGAGCUACCGCUUGAGUUCUUGAAUAUGUAUAUCAGGCAUCGUCAGUAGAAGUUUUGUUUUUAGUGAAUGCGUUCAGUUGAGUAUAUCGAAUAUUGUGCCUUAAAGUCCCCUCAUCAUAGGAGCCUUCUGUGAAAACUAAACCACAAUAUAGCUGAUGAUAAUUUUGUGUAUUCUCCAAAGAUCCAGGCUGAUACUUGGGAGUACAUUAAAAAGCCAUCACUCUAAAAAGAAACCUAAUAGCAGGAUUUCAGACUCUAACCAAUAUAAACCAAGGCUUUACUUUUUCCUCUUUAUUCAAUGAUUUCUCUUUCAUGAUUCAUUCAGUGAUAUUUUCCCAGUUCUUGUCAUACUCCUUGGGUUCUAUUUUACCCACAGCUGCAGGUUAUACACAAGAUGCUCUUCAGAUAAAUUCAGUGACAGAGCUGCAAAACAGAAUCCUCUCUUUCAUUUAAAUCCUUUAUAUACAAUGUUUUUGCAUCAGGGAAUCACCCUGGCAUAUAAUAGCUUGUGCAGGCAUUGUCAAAUAUAUUUGAUAUUAAUAAAGCAUCAAAAGGAGACAUCUCUUUCUACUGAAAAGCAUGAACCUGCAUUAUAAUAUUAGAUUGUGAUUCUAUACCACUUAGUUGGAGUAAUACAUAUUUGUUGUAUAAUCAUGGAAAAAUGUUGUUUUUAAUGUUUAAAAUUACUUGGGACCUGGUUUAAGAGAUUGUUUUCUAAAGUGAAUGGUAGAAAAAGUGUACAUGUAUUUUAAAUAUAUAUGUGUGCAUGUUAUUAAUAAAAAAUCUAUUUCUAUUGAAA